GAUGAACGUUGGCGGCGUGCCUAAUACAUGCAAGUCGAGCGAACAGACGAGGAGCUUGCUCCUCUGACGUUAGCGGCGGACGGGUGAGUAACACGUGGAUAACCUACCUAUAAGACUGGGAUAACUUCGGGAAACCGGAGCUAAUACCGGAUAAUAUAUUGAACCGCAUGGUUCAAUAGUGAAAGACGGUUUUGCUGUCACUUAUAGAUGGAUCCGCGCCGCAUUAGCUAGUUGGUAAGGUAACGGCUUACCAAGGCGACGAUGCGUAGCCGACCUGAGAGGGUGAUCGGCCACACUGGAACUGAGACACGGUCCAGACUCCUACGGGAGGAAGCAGUAGGGAAUCUUCCGCAAUGGGCGAAAGCCUGACGGAGCAACGCCGCGUGAGUGAUGAAGGUCUUCGGAUCGUAAAACUCUGUUAUUAGGGAAGAACAAAUGUGUAAGUAACUAUGCACGUCUUGACGGUACCUAAUCAGAAAGCCACGGCUAACUACGUG
rnacentral:rRNA from 1 species